rnacentral:antisense_RNA from 1 species
AGCGCGAAGAAGGCGGCCAUGAGCCCGUUGCAGGCCCGCCACAGGGCCGGCGCCAUGGGUCGGACAGCGCGGCGCGGGGCGGUGAGAUGAGAAUCCUGAGACUCAGAGUGUGCAACCUGGCCAACAUCACCCAGCUAACAAGUGUUGAAGAUCAGAGUGGGACUGACUUCUCAUCUCUUUCUACAUCAUUUCCUAGUAACCACUCCUGUGUGUUGAGGCAGCCUCGGUAUUUGCACAGCUGGGAGAGACCUACUGGGACGUUUGAUGCAAAGCCAGGGAGCCCCUCUGUCCUUGUUUUCCCCUUCCCUCUUCUGGAAUGUUCUACCCGAGAUCUUCACAUGGCUGCCUCUUCUUCAUUCAGGUCUGAGCACAAAUGCUCCCUCACCAGAGAGGCCUCCUGCAGCCAGAAUCUUAAGUAGCCCCCGCUCGUCUCUCUCCUUCACCCAGUUUCUCGGCUUCACAGCCCUCAUCACUCUCUGACAGCAUCUUCCUCAUUUGAUGGUGUCCUUGUUUGUGGCCUGUCUGCUCCUGGCAGGGGGAAG